rnacentral:rRNA from 1 species
CGGGAAAAGCUCAAAUUUAAAAUCUGGCAGUCUUUGGCUGUCCGAGUUGUAAUUUGUAGAGGAUACUUUUGAUGCGGUGCCUUCCGAGUUCCCUGGAACGGGACGCCAUAGAGGGUGAGAGCCCCGUCUGGUUGGAUGCCAAAUCUCUGUAAAGUUCCUUCGAC